rnacentral:rRNA from 1 species
UACGAAGGGGGCUAGCGUUGUUCGGAAUUACUGGGCGUAAAGGGCGCGUAGGCGGGACGGCAAGUCGGUCGUGAAAUCCCUCGGCUCAACCGAGGAACGUCGAUCGAUACUGCUGUUCUUGAGGAUUGCAGAGGAGACUGGAAUUCCCGGUGUAGCGGUGAAAUGUGUAGAGAUCGGGAGGAACACCGGUGGCGAAGGCGGGUCUCUGGGCAAUUCCUGACGCUGAGGCGCGAAAGCGUGGGGAGCAAACGGG